rnacentral:sRNA from 7 species
GGAUGUGGGGGCAAUCUGCAACAUCUGUCACUCCGCUGAUUGCCAGGGUUGAUUCAGCUGAUCUGACUGGCUAGGUGGGUGUUCCCUUCCUCCCUCACCACUCCAUGUAUGUCUCUCCUGAAGCUGCAAAAGGACAGUCUUCCCCAGUAGAGACGUACCAUUCAUCAGUCUCUUAUCUCCAGUCCCCAUUAGCUUCAUCAUACAAACUCUUGCUAGGAGUCCUGCAUUCUCUUU